GGGGGCGGGGUCUGUGAGUGACUGACUGGGGGCGGGGUCUGUGAGUGACUGACUGUGGGGGCGGGGUCUGUGAGUGACUGACGGGUGGGGCGUUCUAUCAGUGACUAAUUAUGAUGAGUAAUUUGAAGCACUCUUGAUGAAACCUGUCUGUGAAUUAACAUCCACACAGCUCAGGGAAACCACCAGGACAGCAGAGGUUCUGGGCGCGCGCCAUUCCUGGAAUUGAUGAGAUGUCUCUGGUCCUAAUAAACUGAGAGGCCAAUGGUUAAAAAACAAGCAGGUGGGAAGUCUGACUCCUCACCAGGGAAGAGGGAAGAGUUGUAAAGUUUCACAGAAGAUUAUUGGGAUAUUACAAGCCCGGGGCGAGGACCAGUGUCAGCAGGCUGUUGCCGCCUGACAGCCUGAAGGCUCAAAGAAGGGAAAAGUUGAUCCUUUUGUUUUCUGGGAUUUCUACCUGGACAAGGCCUGGUACUAUACCCACAGAUAGGAGACAAAUUGGAUAUUAUUUGCCCAAAAGUGGACUCUAAAACUGUUGGCCAGUAUGAGUAUUAUAAAGUUUAUAUGGUUGAUAAAGACCAAGCAGACAGAUGCAUUAUUAAGAAGAAGAAAAAAACCCUGCUCAACUGUUCCCGUCCACACCGAGAUGUGAAAUUCAUAUCAAGUUUCAAGAAUUCAGCCCUAAAAUCAGGGGUCUAGAAUUUCAGAAGAAAAAAGAUUACUACAUCAUAUCUACAUCAAAUGGGUCUUUGGAAGGCCUGCAUAACCAGGAGGGAGGUGUGUGCCAAACAAGAUCUAUGAAGAUCUCAUGAAAGUUGGACAAGAUGCAAGUCCUGCUGGAUCAACCACGAAUAAUGAUCCAACAAGACAUCCAGAGCUAGAAGCUGGUACAAACAUGAGAAAUUCAAUAACAAGCCCUUUUGUGAAACCAAAUCCAGGGAUAGCAAUGUGGUUGGGCUGUGUGUCUAUGAGGUGCAUUUUUCUUAGAACGCCUAGAGGCAGAGGAGCCUCAAAACACAUCCCAACCAAAGGGAUUCACUCGUGGGCACAGGUUCUUGGGGUCUUUGCUCCCAGUGAGUCAAUAUUAACUCUGCCACUAAGACAGAUUAAUUCAGCCCGGUCAGUGUCUUACAGUCACAAGAGCAGAGCUCACCAGGUGUGUCAGCUACCGAUGCAUCCUGAAGUGUUGAAAAUAGGGAUGUUCCAGAUUUGCUGUCUAAUCUUUAGGAAGUGGUUGGCCUGGUGAGUGAGUGUAGGACUUUUGAAGCUCCUUCACCUCAUCUGGUGAACUGCUAUCAAGUUCAUCCAGUGAGUUGAGCAUCUGCUAUGCUUACUUGUUUGCAAUUGGAGAAUUCAUUCUUCAAGCUAGAGGGCAGAGUCUAAGAACCACAGUAAAUGGCUGUUCUUGCUUCCGUGCAGGUAUCAGCACCGAAGGCAACAGCGCAGGGCAUUCUAGAAACAAUCUGGGUUCCAAAGUGGCCUUAUUGGCAGGAAUCAUAUCAGGAUGCGUCAUCUUCGUCAUCAUCAUCAUCACCUUGGUGGUACUGCUGCUCAAGUACCGCAGGAGGCACGGCAAACACUCUCCACAGCACCUCCAAGCGAGGUGGCAACAACUCUGGCUGGGAACCCAGUGAUGUUCUCAUACCGCUAAGGACUGCAGAUAAUGUCUUCUGCCCACAUUAUCAGAAGGUCAGCGGGGACUAUGGGGACCCAGUGUACAUCGUGCAGGAGAUGCCCCCACAGAAUCCUGCCAACAUUUACUGCAAGGUCUGAGGCCUGGGAACUUUGCCUCCCAAGGGAACUCUCAUCUUGUUGUGGGCGCAGGGACUGCCUGAGCCUGGCUCUGGGGGCGGAAUGCCUCCUAGAAGAUCCUGGAGCUGGACCGUUUUGUAGGCUGUAACUUUUCAGCCUUGGGGAACCACAGACUCUCCCCAGAAGCUGGAAGAUUGCUAAGAGAUCCCCACUUGGACUGCUGUGUCCCUGUGUGGACCUCUAUGCUAUGCACCCAGCCAGGCACUCAGGCCUCUGCAGAUCCCGGGGAGGACACGGUGGGCUAUGGGUGGUCUAUGCAGCAGUACCUUAGGAGAAAGUUGCACCUCUGCCUCUGUGUUUCCUGCCAUGCACACUGGACUUGUCACUCGGACCUCGGGUAACCUCAGUAAGGUUUUCAAAGAUCCCUAGCAUUUAGUCCUCACUCCUUCUGUUUCCAGGGCUCUGCAACACCUCCCCAGACCCUUCACUCCACAUCCCAAAUCAUUAAGGGACACUCACCGCUGAGCCCUGGCCCCACCCUUUACACCAAGAUGAGAUUAAAUGGGAAUUAGGUACAGAAUUCUGCUUUCCUGGAUGCUUGGCUGGGUUUUCUGGGAAAAGCCUGGGAGGUGUUGUCAAGUGAGGAAGCUGCUGGCUACCACCGCAGGUGGAGCAUAGUGGGGAAAGCAAGAAGGAAACAAUAGAUAGUGCUUUGGUUUGGCUGAGAGGAAAGAGGAAAGUGGGAGACUACAGACUUUGUUGACUGGUGGUGAGCUCACUAUCACAGCUAUGCAACAGGGAAUCAAAGCCCCUCUCCUGAAGUGGAACAAAGGGGCUGUUGUUAUGAAAGGACUGGCCAGAGUUCAGAGGGAGAGGACAGACCUCUGGGGCAGGACUGUUGAGGUACUGGCAAUAAAAAAGCACAGCCUGCGGGAGAGUCA
rnacentral:lncRNA from 1 species